GACCAGUGUGGCGUAGUGGUUUGAAUGUUGAACUAUAGCUUGGAAGUCUAGGGUUCGAUUCCCAGCUUGGCCA